rnacentral:rRNA from 1 species
AUUGAACGCUGGCGGCAUGCUUUACACAUGCAAGUCGAACGGUAGCGCGGGGUAAUCUGGCGGCGAGUGGCGAACGGGUGAGUAAUAUAUCGGAACGUACCCAGAAGUGGGGGAUAACGUAGCGAAAGUUACGCUAAUACCUCAUACGAUCUACGGACGAUAGAAGGGGACCGCAAGGCUUUAUGCUUCUGGUGCGGCCGAUAUCUGAUUAGCUAGUUGGUGAGGUAAAGGCUGACCAAGGCGACGAUCAGUAGCUGGUCUGAGAGGACGACCAGCCACACUGGAACUGAGACACGGUCCAGACUCCUACGGGAGGCAGCAGUGGGGAAUUUUGGACAAUGGGCGCAAGCCUGAUCCAGCAAUGCCGCGUGAGUGAGGAAGGCCUUCGGGUUGUAAAGCUCUUUUGUCAGGGAAGAAGCGGUAGAGGCUAAUAUCCUUUGCUAAUGACGGUACCUGAAGAAUAAGCACCGGCUAACUACGUG